rnacentral:lncRNA from 1 species
GUCUAUCGUCCCAGUCACACACACGUGUCCCCCGCAGGUCCGCCUCCUCCCGGCUCGCACACGUGUCCCCCGCAGGUCCGCCUCGUCCCGGCUCACACACACGUGUCCCCCGCAGGUCCGCCUCGUCCCGGCACACACGUGUCCCCCGCAGGUCGCCGCACACAGGACGAGUGCGGGUGCUGUGCCCCGGCGCAGGGUUCCAUAGCCCAGCAGGAGCAACUGCACGUGUGUGGGGAGCCAUCGCUAGUCUGGUUCCACGCGGCAGGCCCGCAUUCGCACCGCGUGCAUCCUGGAGAACCCCGCAAACACGGCCUUUCGGGGCCGCCGCCCCAGCGGAGCCGGGACUCCGCCGGUGUAUCGCAAAGCCGCGCCCGGGAAGCCGGCGCCCUGGGCUUGGCCCGUCAGGGCCCGCGGGCAGCUGGGGGCAGCCCCGGCCGCUCCCCUGACCCGUGUCCACUCUGCUCAGCGAGCGGCAGCCGCACUCCGGCCCUCCCGCGGCCCGGAGCCCCUCACUCCGCAGCCCCCAGGGCGCGGCACACACCAACGCGAAGCCUUCGAGACCAGCUCGGGUGGCCACGACCACGGGCGGACGUUCCAGAAACUUCCCCGCUGUGCCCCCGACACCCUGCCCGCCGCGGCGGCGAAGGACCCCCAAGGAUGCCCACACCUUGGUCCCCGAGGCUGCGGUCGCACCCCGCUCGCCACAACGGAGCGGCCCGCAGGGAUCCCCGGGGACCCCGGGUCGCCCCAGGGGCAGCCCACCGGGCCCGCGAGGUCCUCCGCAGCGGGGCGGGGCGAGGCGGCCCAGGGUUCAAGGGCCCGGCCCCGCGGGGAAGAAGGGGUGGGCUUCUUGCUUCACAGAGGGUGCGCGCCGCGCCGGUGUGCGGCGCCGGCGCCCGGUGUUCGACGACCACAACGACCACGACGACCACGACGAGGGCCGGCUCACGGCGCAGCGCGAGCGCUCGCAGGCGACCCGGAACCGGAAGUGCCGAGGGCCCGGAACCGGAAGUGCCAAGGUUCCGCGCGGGCGCUCGCACUUCCGGCAGGGCAGCCGGAUGCCCUCCCCAGUGCUGCCGGCCACCCCUCGCAGGGUCCAGCCCGCCUGCCCGCCUGCCCGCCUGCCGGCAGGUGACCCUGGGGACCGCCCUGGGACCGCUGCCCAAGCCAUCGCCCUCCGGAAGCUGGAAAGGGCCCGGGGACAGAGCCCCCGGGGGACUACCCUGGUUUUAG